rnacentral:rRNA from 1 species
UACGGGGGGGGCAAGCGUUGUUCGGAAUUACUGGGCGUAAAGGGCUCGUAGGCGGCCAACUAAGUCAUACGUGAAAUCCCUCGGCUUAACCGGGGAACUGCGUCUGAUACUGGAUGGCUUGAGUUCGGGAGAGGGAUGCAGAAUUCCAGGUGUAGCGGUGAAAUGCGUAGAUAUCUGGAGGAAUACCGGUGGCGAAGGCGGCAUCCUGGACCGACAUUGACGCUGAUGAGCGAAAGCGAGGGGAGCAAACGGG